GAGUGAAGCGGCAACAGCUCAAAUUUGAAAUCUGGCCUCUUUUGGGGUCCGAGUUGUAAUUUGUAGAGGAUGCUUCGGGUACGGCUGCGGUCUAAGUUCCUUGGAACAGGACGUCAUGGAGGGUGAGAAUCCCGUGUGGGACCGUCUGCCACGCCCGUGUGAAGCGCCUUCGACGAGUCGAGUUGUUUGGGAAUGCAGCUCAAAAUGGGUGGUACAUUUCAUCUAAAGCUAAAUACCGGCCAGAGACCGAUAGCGCACAAGUAGAGUGAUCGAAAGAUGAAAAGCACUUUGGAAAGAGAGUUAAAAAGCAUGUGAAAUUGUUGAAAGGGAAGCGCUUGCAACCAGACUUGCCCCCGGGUGCUCAACCGGCGUUUUCGCCGGCGCAUUCGCCCGGGGUCAGGCCAGCAUCAGCUCGGGCGGCCGGACAAAGGCCUCUGGAAUGUAGCUCCUCUCGGGGAGUGUUAUAGCCAGGGGUGCAAUGCGGCCCGCCUGGACUGAGGAACGCGCUUCGGCACGGAUGCUGGCGUAAUGGUUGUAAGCGACCCGUCUUGAAACACGGACCAAGGAGUCUAACAUCUAUGCGAGUGUUUGGGUGUCAAACCCACACGCGGAAUGAAAGUGAACGGAGGUGGGAGCCUUCGGGCGCACCAUCGACCGAUCCUGAUGUCUUCGGAUGGAUUUGAGUAAGAGCAUAGCUGUUGGGACCCGAAAGAUGGUGAACUAUGCCUGAAUAGGGUGAAGCCAGAGGAAACUCUGGUGGAGGCUCGCAGCGGUUCUGACGUGCAAAUCGAUCGUCAAAUUUGGG
rnacentral:rRNA from 1 species